rnacentral:pre_miRNA from 1 species
AUCACGUGGGGAUCUUGUUAAAAUGCGGACUCUGAUUUAGUGGGCUCUAGGGUAGGACCUGAGAUUGUGCAUUUCUAACGAGCUCUCAGGUGAUGCAGA